rnacentral:lncRNA from 1 species
GAAAGCCUGCGAUUGGUCUCCACCUUCUUGCGUCUCCCAGCGCGAUGAAUGGCAGAGGCCUCUGGGUUGCCUAUGAGGCCACUAAGGCCAGUCUCUUGGGCUGCAGGAGGGUGGCGUGGAGUCGGCGUUCCACAAGACAACCUCGGGCACCACGCCAGCAGCCAUCAGGAAGCUCUACCAGGUUAAGGGGAAGAAGAACAUCCGUGCGACCGAGAGGGCUCUGAGCUGGGACAGCUUCAACACUGGGGACUGCUUCAUCCUGGACCUGGGUCAGAACAUCUUUGCCUGGUGUGGUGGCAAGUCCAACAUCCUGGAGCGCAACAAGGCGAGAGACCUGGCCCUGGCCAUCCGGGACAGCGAGCGGCAGGGGAAGGCCCAGGUGGAGAUCAUCACUGACGGAGAGGAGCCAGC